AGUAUUUAGAUGUGUUACAUCCAUUACAUUCAUUUUAAAAUUAAUUGAGUUUAUAUGAGUUGAGUAGACAGAGGGUCCAAUGAUUUAUUGUCUUUGUAUUGCAAAAAACAACAAAUAAAUUCCCCAUCUGUCUCACAGGUUCACAGGUGUGUGUGGAUGAAAGAGGAAGGUGUGCACAUGCCCAAAUAAAUGGACCAGCUACAACCAAACUCUUCAUUAAAAUUCAAUAAUGAUCCUUCCGCAGGUUCACCUACGGAAA
rnacentral:misc_RNA from 1 species